CCAUGCAUGUCUAAGUUUAAGCAAUUAUACCGCGAAACUGCGAAUGGCUCAUUAAAUCAGUUAUCGUUUAUUUGAUAGUACCUUACUACUUGGAUAACCGUGGUAAUUCUAGAGCUAAUACAUGCUAAAAAUCCCGACUUCGGAAGGGAUGUAUUUAUUAGAUUAAAAACCAAUGCCCUUCGGGGCUCUCUGGUGAUUCAUAAUAACUUCUCGAAUCGCAUGGCCUUGCGCCGGCGAUGGUUCAUUCAAAUUUCUGCCCUAUCAACUUUCGACGGCUGGGUCUUGGCCAGCCAUGGUGACAACGGGUAACGGAGGGUUAGGGCUCGACCCCGGAGAAGGAGCCUGAGAAACGGCUACUACAUCCAAGGAAGGCAGCAGGCGCGCAAAUUACCCAAUCCCAAUUCGGGGAGGUAGUGACAAUAAAUACUGAUACAGGGCUCUUUUGGGUCUUGUAAUUGGAAUGAGUACAAUUUAAAUCCCUUAACGAGGAACAAUUGGAGGGCAAGUCUGGUGCCAGC
rnacentral:rRNA from 1 species